CAGCCGCCACGGUAAUACGAAGGGGGCUAGCGUUGCUCGGAAUGACUGGGCGUAAAGGGCGCGUAGGCGGAUUGUUUAGUUAGGCGUGAAAUUCCUGGGCUUAACCUGGGGACUGCGCUUAAUACAGGCAGUCUAGAGUGAGGAAGAGGGUUGUGGAAUUCCCAGUGUAGAGGUGAAAUUCGUAGAUAUUGGGAAGAACACCGGUGGCGAAGGCGGCAACCUGGUCCUUGACUGACGCUGAGGCGCGAAAGCGUGGGGAGCAAACAGGAUUAGAUACCCCUGUAGUCCCUGUCUCUUAUAC
rnacentral:rRNA from 1 species